CGUGAGCAAUCUGCCUUUCAGAGGGGAUACCGAUUGGAAACGAUCGUUAAUACCGCAUAACAUAAUUGAACCGCAUGAUUUGAUUAUCAAAGAUUUAUCGCUGAAAGAUGAGCUCGCGUCUGAUUAGCUAGUUGGUAAGGUAACGGCUUACCAAGGCGACGAUCAGUAGCCGGACUGAGAGGUUGAUCGGCCACAUUGGGACUGAGACACGGCCCAG
rnacentral:rRNA from 1 species